AUUGAACACUGGCGGCAUGCUUAACACAUGCAAGUCGAACGCGAACGGGCUUCGGCCCAAGUAGAGUGGCGGACGGAUGAGUAAUGCGUGGGAAUCUACCCUCGAGCGGGGGACAACCCGGGGAAACCCGGGCUAAUACCGCAUACGUCCUACGGGAGAAAGCGGGCCUCUACACUAUGCUCGCACUCGAGGAUGAGCCCACGUCCGAUUAGCUAGUUGGUAGGGUAACGCCUACCAAGGCCACGAUCGGUAGCUGGUCUGAGAGGAUGAUCAGCCACACUGGGACUGAGACACGGCCCAGACUCCUACGGGAGGCAGCAGUGGGGAAUAUUGGACAAUGGGCGCAAGCCUGAUCCAGCAAUGCCGCGUGUGUGAAGAAGGCCUGCGGGUUGUAAAGCACUUUCAGUGGGGAAGAACGGAUACGGGCCAAUACCCCGCAUCACUGACGUUACCCACAGAAGAAGCACCGGCUAACUCCGUGCCAGCAGCCGCGGUAAU
rnacentral:rRNA from 1 species